UACGGAGGAUCCGAGCAUUAUCCGGAUUUAUUGGGUUUAAAGGGUGCGCAGGCGGGAGAUUAAGUCGGCGGUGAAAUUUUGCAGCUCAACUGUAAAAGUGCCUUCGAAACUGGUUUCCUUGAGUGUGGAUGAGGUAGGCGGAAUUUGUGGUGUAGCGGUGAAAUGCAUAGAUAUCACGAGGAACUCCGAUUGCGCAGGCAGCUUACUAAACCAUAACUGACGCUCAGGCACGAAGGCGUGGGGAUCAAACAGGAUUAGAUACCCCCGUACGU
rnacentral:rRNA from 1 species